GAUUUGACAAUUUCCCAACAUAAAGGAGUUGGAAAUUUCAUUCGUUGAACCUUCGCUCGACCAAACAUUCCGACAAUCGU